rnacentral:sRNA from 1 species
UUCAUCUGAUUCACAGCUUUUGGGUGCCUGCUGUUUUCAAGCAGGCUCCUGCCCAGCUGGGCACAGCGUUGUAAAAGCCGUGCCCUCUCAUAAGCUCUCUGUCUGAAAAGCAAAGAUGGCCCACUCCCAGGAUCUGCUGCAUCCCAUCAAGAACCUCCACACAGCUAAGCAAAGGUCCCUUGGCCUCAUGGGAGAUACGGGGAGAACAUAGGGUGACAGUCUUCUAGGAUGACCAAGCAGCUUAGCUAAGGAGGUGGGACUGAUACUGGGGGCAAGAGAGAGCCCCCAAGGUUUUGGCCGCGGAGACCCGCGGAGACCCUGACGGCAGGAGCUGUUGAGGAUUCUGUGGGCUCUGGGGCUCAGAGCUGAACGGAAGCCAUCCCAGAGGUUGAAAGGGUGUCUCUCUCCUGUCUUCCAGUCUUCCUUCUUGGACGGUUUGGGAGACCAGCCUUCCACUUGCAGUUUCAAAAUCACUCUCAGGCUCAGUAAACUCUACCCUUCCUUCUCCAAAUAGGCAGCCAGCAAAGCAAUCCCGACCCUGUGAUGACCAAGCUGAUGUCCAGCCCCACCAGUGACAAGGCCUGGAUCAUGCUGCAGUCUGCACAGAGAGUGACUUCUUUAUGUGACCCAUG